GAGGGUAUAGCUCAAGUGGUAGAGCGCGUGCUUAGCAUGCAUGAGGUCCUGGGUUCAAUCGCCAGUAUCUCCU
rnacentral:tRNA from 1 species